GACUUUCUUAUUAUGAGAUUCAAUCUCCAAUAACUUUCUCGACUGAAGAGAUGAAGGGAGCAAAACCGAGAAGAGAUGGAGAAGAGAGAGGGUUCGAAUGAGCAAAACCGCAGGAGAAGGGUUUCAAUCUCUCUUGAUAUUGCAUUCUCCACCCAAUGUUUUCUUUGAAUUCGAAGGUGUAAUUAGAUAAUGAUGAUUGAAGGCCAUUGGGCCCAAUGGAUCUUCAUAAGGUAAUAUUAAUUAAGCUCAAUUGUAUUGUUGCAGCUUGGGGACUACUCAACUACUGUCUAUUUGAAUUUUAGGGCAUUCUUUGGGAAAAGUCUGAUGUAACAAGGGAAAGCUACAAAUUACAAGAAUUAUCAGAACAUCACCUUAUGAGGCGAACUACAAGAUAAAGAAUGCAAACAAAUGGAAAGGGGUAGUACUAUGAGUUAUUCCAAAAUACCAGAUUGGGGAAUCCCAUAAUUCUCGAUUUUCAGGCAUCUUGGAAUUUAUUCUUGGUGGUGGAAAAUGUAUUUAUACCCAGAAUUGGAACAAUUUGAGAUCAAAGCUUAAAAAGCAAGUACUAACUUAUUCAAAUGUAUGCUUCAUCUUAUGUUUUGAUAUUGCUAUGCCUUGCUUCAGGGCAGCCCAUUUGUUAUUCUCCCUAAAACUUUUCUCUCUCUUUUCCUCUAAAAGCUGGAGUUCUAUCUUUCCCUCUUAAUGCUUAGAUGGAGUUCAUUAUACUAUUGUGCCAAAAUAUAAUGCAAGAGAUACUUGUUUCGAAAAUAUUUUACAUUGCUCUGAUAUUGCUUCAUCUAG